UUUUGUUUGUUUGUUUGAAACGGGAUUUCUCUGGAACUUGCUCUGUAGACAAGGCUGGUCUCGAACUCAGAGACCUGCUUGUCUCUGCCUCCCCAGUGCUGGGCUUAAAGGUAUGAGCCACCACUGGCAGGCUUACUUUUUAAGGCACUUCAUUUAAGGUAAUUCUUUGCCUAACAAUUCAUAGUCAAUACAGUGAGUAUUGGUUUAGGAAACAGAUUAGUCAAGCCCUGGAGAACGAAGUUAGAAAGGACAGGAAACUAUUAGCCUCUGAGGUCUGAAGGAGCCUGGAGAGAAGAGCUCUGGGAUCUAUCGACCGCAGCAAAAAGAAGCGGCCUGACCGUGGCCUUUGGUAGAGGAAGGUGGUGUGCCAGGAAACGGGGAGCCGGGCAAACAAACACCCCAUCUCGGUUUCUUCUCACCUUCAACCUGGCCAAAGUUGCCGCCUCUGCUGGCCAAGCACACGGUGCAGGCACACAUCUCAGAACAGAUCCCAAGUGUCGAAAGUGAAGACAUAACUGUUCCAAGCCCCCCAUUUAGGCCCAAGGGUAGCGCCCCUUCGGGACCCUGAAUAACUGGGUCCCCGCUGGCGGGGACAAGUGGCGCCUGAACAGGGACCCCGAAGUACGGCCAACUACCGGACGACGGAGACAGGAGAUCCGAGGAGAGAUUGAGGACUCUUCAGGCUGCAUCGCUCGUGCAUCGCUGGAGAGGGAGGUAAGACCGGUCGAAUAAGUGUCGUCCCAUCGCCAUGGGGAAGGUAUUGUCUAAGGAGGCUUGAUUCAUAGGAGAGAUCAAGCGCUCAUUCAGGGAGAGAGGAAAGAGUUAAGAAAAAGGAUUUAAUCAAUUUUUUUUGUUUUGUUGAUGAAAAGUGUCCUUGGGGUAAGAUGGGCUAGAAAAGGCCUUGAUGAUUUGGGCUAGCGUAAGUAAAACUUGUAAUAAAAAAGGGACAAGGUAAUGGUAAAGUAUUUUUGUGUAUGCGUUCUUUUAGAGUUAUGUUUUAGUCUUUGGACCCUGACUAGAGAUAGUUUACACCCUAGACAUGAGAGAGAAUGGGUUUGGGAAAAACAGUCCUCCCGGACUCUCCGCAGAUGCUUUGGAGAAAGAGAAAAACCUUUUCAGAGCUCUCUUAGGAACAGAGGGAAAGCAGGAGACGUCCUGCCUCUCUGCUGGUUCCUAUUGGAGAAAUGCUUAUUUCUGGUUCUGGGUUCCAUAGGUAGGAUAUGUGGGACACCAUCUAGUUUUUUCCCUCUAUGUCUAUUGUCUGUCCUUGGUGCACCAAGCUGUCCAUGUCUGUCAGUUUAUGUCUGUGGUUUUUGCUUCUCGUUGCUUGAAUGUUUUGUGUUUCAUGUUUAAAAGAAAAGGUUAAAAUUUUAAAUGCUGGUUGAUUCACCCAUUGAUGUAGUUUUAACUCCUUUCAAGAAAGGUACAAAUAAAUAAAAAGUUUCAAUUGGCUUUUGGAGCCUGCAUCUGUAGCUAGAAGCCUAAGUCCACUGGGCAAGCUCCCCAGGGGGCUGGCUAAAUGUUUACACUAGCCGAUCCUAAAGGCACUAGGAGCUUCACAGCUUCUAUGGUAAUGAAACUGAUAGCUGUUUCUCUUAGAAAAAUCCCUGACUUAUUAUUUGACUUAGCAGGUGACAAGGUGCUUCUCUUAAUAUUACAGCUAGAAAAAGUAAAAAUGGUGCUUGGUCUAAAUAUUAAAGAUAUGUAUAGCCACUUCAAUUUUGUUUCUGAUUGGUUUUAAAUGUAUAAAUAUGCUCUACACGCCUUGGUUAUGUACUAUUGGCUUUUAAGUUAUUAGAUAUGGUUAAAAAGGUGUAACAUUGGUAACAGAAAGUUGGCUUAAAAUUGUAAUUUAGAUGAAGUCAUUCUAGAUAACAUGUGACAUGGGCCUGGUUGCCUUGUCACUGUUUGGCCUUAGCCUUAGAUUAUAGGAUCAAAAGCCUCUCCCUGUAAUUUACUGCACAAGAAGUUUACAUUCAUGGAAUGUUUUCAGCCGCAACAAGACCCUUCUGGGUCUCCAACAAGGUUUGACCCCUGCUGAGCCCUGCCCUUGCAUGUGGAAGCUUUUUGUUCCCAACUGGCAGUCUGGCCAGGUACUUCUCACCUGAGUCAGAAUUAGGCUGGCCUUCCUGGUUAUUUCCCUAAUUUAUUCAGGCCACAUAGUCUGUCCUUUGUUACCGAAGUCUCAGCCAGGGUUCCCCACUGUGCUUCGCAGAUACCUGCUAAGUGCUGUACUUUAGAUAUAUAGUUUGGUCCAUAAAGAAACCAGAGGCUUUUUCCUCUUCUGGCUUGACACACACACA